rnacentral:tRNA from 1 species
AGAGCAUAGCUAAGUGGUAGAGCACAUGCUUAGCAUGCACAAGGUCCUGGGUUCAAUCCCCAGUCCCUCUG